CGCGACGCGUGCGCAGAGGCUUCAACCCGAGCGUCCGACUCCCUGGCGCACCUUCCCCGGUGCCAGGUAGUGACGCUCGGACCUCGGGUUGAAACCCCUGCGCACGGAUCGCGCGAA
rfam:Friedmanniella luteola strain DSM 21741 genome assembly, chromosome: I